rnacentral:rRNA from 1 species
CCUACGGGUGGCUGCAGUGGGGAAUAUUGGACAAUGGGGGAAACCCUGAUCCAGCGACGCCGCGUGAGUGAAGAAGUAUUUCGGUACGUAAAGCUCUAUCAGCAGGAAAGAAAAUGACGGUACCUGACUAAGAAGCCCCGGCUAACUACGUGCCAGCAGCCGCGGUAAUACGUAGGGGGCAAGCGUUAUCCGGAUUCAUUGGGUUUAAAGGGUGCGCAGGCGGGCCGUUAAGCCGGCGGUGAAAUCGCGGGGCUCAACCCCGCCGCGCCGUCGGAACUGGGGGCCUUGAGUGCGGGGGAGGCAUGCGGAAUGCGCGGUGUAGCGGUGAAAUGCAUAGAUAUCGCGCAGAACCCCGAUUGCGAAGGCAGCGUGCCGUGCCGCCACUGACGCUGAGGCACGAAAGCGCGGGGAGCGAACAGGAUUAGAUACCCUAGUAGUC